CUUGUAAUAUUUACUUUUGGUGCAAUUAUUGCGUAAAUAUCUAUUUACAUGUUCUGUAAUUAAAUAUAGAACCGUUAAGUGAGAAGUUGAUAUGUGAGAAAAAGAAUUAAUCCAAAAAAUAGUCGAAAUUGCAACAAAAUUCAAUUGCAAGUUACACAGCACCUCACCCAUCUCGCCAAUUUUGCACAUAGUUAUUUCUUGAUAAUUUUAUUUUUUUUUUACAGUUUUGGCGAAUAGAAACCCAAUUUCAGAGAUUUUUUUCUGAUGGAAUUGCAGCGGUACAUGUAGACAGAAUUUGACCGAGACACCUUGGGGCUGCUCCAACAGGGCACACAUGACUCCUCGUGACGAAAUCCUUAUAGAGUUUGACAGCAUCGCUUUGAACUAACUGAAAACCUGGUUCAGUUAGAACUUUGGGCCAAUCUCUUAUAAUUCGAAAUGGAAUUUGCUUCUGCAUACAGGACCCGCCGUGUUUGAAUAGCCAGGCCUCAAAGCAGUUUCCAAAUGACUUGAUUCAAAGAUCUUGGUAUGUCUUCUUGGUCUGAUCCACAAGACUUUGCCACUCGGGCUCUUCGAGAAUAAACUUACGAUGAAGUAAAACGGAACUACUAUAGACUCCAACUUAACAAUUCUGAAG